rnacentral:tRNA from 1 species
AGAGUACUAGUAUAACUGCUAAUACGCUGUCGUGUCAAGACAGAACUGCAGGUUAAAUCCCGCGCACUCUU